UGGAUGAUGGAUGGAUGCAUGGAUGGACGGAUGGCGCAGCCCCACCGAGCCCAGGGGCACAGGCAGGGCGCAGGCAGGAGGUUGCCAUGGGGGUCAGCAGUGGGUGCCCCCUGCCCGCAGCCUGGCCAGGGGACAAGGGCAGCCCCUUGGCUGCCCCCGGGGGGGCCGCUUUGGGGAUCUUUUGUUUCUUGUUUUCCCUCCCCAUCCGCUCCCCCGCCGGGUGCUUUCCGUGCCGGAUGGAUGCCAAUGGGUGUUUGGGAGCGCUGACCCCCCACCAGGCUCUGGCAGCUUCGCCAGCGGGGCUCAGAGAUGCCACCGUCGCCCGCCACAGCACCCAUCCUGGCUGCCGGAGCAGAGAGGAGAGGAGAGGAGGGCACUGCUGGGGGGGGGUACCCCGGCCCCAUUGCCCCCCGCUUGGCCCCCGCCUCGGCCGUGGCGCCGGCGCCGCGUUCUCUCUCGGAGGGGACUCUUUUAACCGUUUCCUUUUGGGGUUUUUAUCGGAGGGAAUUUUCAUUUUCUGCACAAAACCAGCAAUUGUAAAUACUUUUGAAGAAAAGCUUAAAAAAAAACCCACAAAAAAAUGUUUAGGGAGAAAAAAAAAUCCUAAAAAGCUGAAAAUUCACAUUAAAUACUAAAAGACAGAGCCACGCACCGGAGGGAGAAGCAACGGAGCGGCCGAGAGGUGAAUAUGCAGGAGAGAAGAGCAAAAACCCACCCGUAUGCACUGAGUAAAGAUUUAUUUACAGCUCAAAUCGACCUAAAAAAUGAGAAAGACAAAAAAAAACAAAAAACAAAGGAACAAUAACCUAUUUAUUGUAUAUAAUGUUUUAUUAUAAAUCGUGUCUUGUAUAUUGCAUUCUGUACCUCUGCUGUGGUUUUGUGGUGUGCAGCUCCCGCAUGGGUCCCGUGGCUUUCCGUUGCCUUUUUUUAAUGCCCAGGACUUGAGGUCUUAUUUUUAUGAUGCUGAUGCUGAAGAAGAAGGGGUUUGGGAGUGGGGGGGGGGGGGGGGGGUGGGGGGAGGGGGGUGGGUUUUUUGGCAGGAUGCACCCAAAGACCCAAAUUUGUAUGAAAAAAGAGAAAAAAAAAGAAAGAGUUUAACAAAAAAAAUCAUCAGAAAAUUAAAAAAAAAAAAGGGGAGGAAAAAUAUCAGGAGAGAACUGGAUUCCAGAGCCUUUGGUGGGGAGGUUGGGAUGGGGCAAUAGGGGGGGCACCGUGGUCCCCAAUGCAGUGAUGAGCUCAGGGUGUGGGUGUGUGUGGAUGCCAAUGGGGGGCUUUGGGCUUCUCUGUCCCCCCUAUGUGUGAUGUAUGUGUGUCCCCACCAAGGGUUUGGCUCUAUAGAGCUUUGUGGACUGUGCAAAACCAACCAACAUGAAAAACAGAGGGGGAAAUGCCCUUCAGGGCCAAAAAUGGACAAAAAACGGGGAAAACACCCCAAAUCUGGUCAAAAGAGCCCCUAAAACCCAAACCCAACCAAGAAGAGAGGAAAAUGCCCUGAAAUGGCUAAAAAUUAACAAAAUCCAGGGGUAAAACACCCCAUGUCUGGUCACAACAGCCCCAUGCUGCCCACCCCCAGCCAGAGAGAACCACCCUGGUGCCCCCCCGUCCCCCCUGUCCCCUCGCCUGGUUUUUGUGUUCUUUAGGAAGGAAUUUUUAAUAGGCACUUUUUUUAUAUUAAAAAGAAUCCUCUAUAUUGA